rnacentral:rRNA from 1 species
AUUGAACGCUGGCGGCAUGCCUUACACAUGCAAGUCGAACGGCAGCACGGGAGCUUGCUCCUGGUGGCGAGUGGCGAACGGGUGAGUAAUACAUCGGAACGUACCCUGAAGUGGGGGAUAACGUAGCGAAAGUUACGCUAAUACCGCAUAUUCUGUGAGCAGGAAAGAGGGGGAUCGCAAGACCUCUUGCUUUAGGAGCGGCCGAUGUCGGAUUAGCUAGUUGGUGAGGUAAAGGCUCACCAAGGCGACGAUCCGUAGCGGGUCUGAGAGGAUGAUCCGCCACACUGGGACUGAGACACGGCCCAGACUCCUACGGGAGGCAGCAGUAAGGAAUAUUGCUCAAUGGGGGAAACCCUGAAGCAGCAACGCCGCGUGAGGGAUGAAGGGCUUUUGCUUGUAAACCUCUGUAGUGAGGGAAAAAAUUUCCAACUCUGUGGAAUAUGAUGGUACCUCAAAAGUAAGCCCCGGCUAACUACGUGCCAGCAGCCGCGGUAAU